rnacentral:rRNA from 1 species
UACGGAGGGUGCAAGCGUUAUCCGGAUUCACUGGGUUUAAAGGGUGCGUAGGCGGACAGGUAAGUCAGUGGUGAAAUCUCUGGACUUAACCCAGAAACUGCCGUUGAUACUAUUUGUCUUGAAUAUCCUGGAGGUAGGCGGAAUAUGUCAUGUAGCGGUGAAAUGCUUAGAUAUGACAUAGAACACCGAUAGCGAAGGCAGCUUACUACAGGAUGAUUGACGCUGAGGCACGAAAGCGUGGGGAGCAAACAGG